UACGUAGGGAGCAAGCGUUGUCCGGAAUCAUUGGGCGUAAAGCGCGCGUAGGUGGCUCUAUAAGUCCGUUGUGAAAGUCAAAGGCUCAACCUUUGAAAGCCGAUGGAUACUGUAGAGCUAGAGUCCGGAAGAGGCGAGUGGAAUUUCUGGUGUAGCGGUGGAAUGCGCAGAUAUCAGGAGGAACACCCAUAGCGAAGGCAGCUUGCUGGGACGUUACUGACGCUAAGGCGCGAAAGCGUGGGGAGCGAACAGG
rnacentral:rRNA from 1 species